CGCGCCCUCCCUCCUCUUUCUAUCGCUCCUGGCCAUCCGCCUCGCCUUUCGCCGCCCCUCCUCCCAUCACAUUGGUCUGCACCGCCGCAUCCGCACCGCCUAGCCCCGCCGCCACCGAGGACGCGGAAACCGCACCUCCCUCCCACGCCUCCCCCUCCAGACCCGAAGCGGUGGCAGCUCGCGGCGUCAACCAUCGUGCUUGACGACACCCCCACCCCUCCGAAGCGGCGGCCACCGUCGGUAGCUGCCGACCGGUCCACCUCCGUGGUGGCCGAUACGCCCCGGUAGCCGUUCUGUGACAGCUUGGUAUAAUGAAGAAUUAGAAAGGAUUCAGUUCUCUCCUUUCUGUUCUAUUCUUUCAGCAAUGGUUCAGGUUAACAAAAAUAUUUCGCUCGAGUUAAACAAGAAAGGUCAGUUUUUAUCCUUCCAGUUCUCCUUUUGUCUUGAAUGUUCUUGAAGAAGCUAUGAGUGGAACAGUUACAGCGAGACCGCUCCCUGUUGGAUCAUCAGCAAGAGGAAAGGUUCUGCCACUACCAGUUUUAUUAUCUUGUUUAUAAUGGGAUGGCUACCACAUAUAUUUUUCUAUUUAUAGGUUGACAAGCAAUGUGCUCUUUUUUAUGGUGUAACUAUAAGCGAAGAACAAGCUCGGUCAGGCAUUGUAAUCAGAGUAACCUCAGCCGCACAAAGUAAAUUUAAGCUACUUUUCUUCGAACAAGAAAUUGAUGGAGGUUAUUGACUAGGUCUGCAUGGAGGUUAUUGACUAGGUCUGCAGGUACUUUUGAGUUUCAUGGUUGAUGUGUUCUGUAGCUUUGUAAUCAUUUGCCAUGGAUUACCACAUGCCAAUCUUUAAUGUUUUUUUAUGAAUGAAUAGUGGAAGCACUGAAGGAAUCUCAAAAGGAAAUUGAAUUUGUCAUCACCAUCACAAAUCUAAUUUUCAAUAGAAACUCAAAGAUGUAGAUGUGCUAAAACAAAUGCGACCAUUAGCUUGUCACCUCCAAACCAACUAAUCCUGACCUCCUGUCAUCAACUGACAAGUGACAACCCUCCUCCCUGUAACAAUCAUGAAAAGAGUUGUGCCUGUGCAAAGUUUGAGUUCCAGCUGAACUUGGCAAACUUGAGCUUUUUGAACUGUAAGAAAUUUUAUCGUGUCUAAAUACUGCAAUUGCAGAGCCAUGACGAAGGAUUCACAUGUGCUUUUUAAGUAUAUAUAUUCUUGUGCUUUCUAAAUUAUGAAAUGGAAUAUAUUGUUCUUUUGUGAAAUUUGAUUUAUCCCAUAAAAAUGUCUGUCCUCACAUACGGAUUGGUUAUUUACUAUUGGGAAAGAAGUGUUUGGUGCUUUGCAUCCAACAGCCAUAUGAGGCUCAGUCACAUGGUAUGAAGUCAUCAGAUACCUCUUCUCUUCGUAAUAUUGAUCUUUCAAAAUAUCAUUUCAGGAUCACGUCAAUUUUUUCACCAUUGAUCUUGGCUUAGUAUGAACUGGACAGACCCGCACGCUCUUCCAUUGAUCAGGAAUGUACAUAAGUGCAUAAUAUAUAGUAUUUAACAGACAUUGUGGCUAAUGGAUGAUGAUAUAAAUACCAUUAUAUGCAUUUUAACAAAAAACCAUUCUUUGAAAGCUUUUUAAUGGAAGUUCUAAAAGGUUUUAAUUCAUGUUUAUUGUUUAUUGAUGGAGAGAACAAUUUCUAUCCUCUUAAGUAGAUGGCUCAGGACUUGGUUUCCAAUGUCACUUGAAAAUGAUACUGCAAGCUAAUCAAAUCAAGUUUUGUUAUAUUGCAGGAAGCUAGCAUUAUCCAGGCUAAUCAAAUCAAGUUUUGUCAUCAAGCAAUUUUGUUAUCGAUGGUUGGAAUGUAUUACGCCAAUGUGUUAGAGACAACUAAUUUUUGGUUUGCUGCCUGAAAUGCUAACAUAUUGUUCGAUGCAUUCAUGAUAGUCUGGGGACAAAAGGAAAAGUUUAUUAGAGCUUUAGGGGUCAAAAUAGGACAUGUGAUACUUGGUUGUUCAUAAACAGCUAACCCAGCAUUAAUCCACUGAUGGUCUGCUUGCUGAAUUUAUUUCUGAAGUAAUUAGCAAUCUUUGUUUAAUCCUGAAUGAUUUGUAUUCCCUUGUUUUUCAUGGUAUCACAAUAGAUUGGAACAGGCUAAUCUUCUGCUCAAGAAAACACCAUUGUUGGAGAUGAUGACAAUUGUCCUCCACUGCUCCUGACCAUUCAAACAGGCAUGUAUUUUCAUUUGCCGAUGGGUACAUAUUAUUGUGUUAUGCAUUUUAGCUACUUGAUUAAAAUAUCCAGUGAUUUUACAGGAAUGUGCUUUUGAAUUACCCUAUCUUUAAUAUAAUUAAUUUAAGCGGUACGCUAACUGAUUUACACGAUCACAUGAAUGGCAGACUGUCAGAGUUCAUCGCUUCAAUGUUGUUUGGUGAUGUGAGAGCUGAGAUUAUUGUUUCCUUACUAGCAUAUAAAUUUAUUCCUGUACAAGAAUAGCUGGUAUUUCAAACAUAUGGUUAUUUUUGCA